ensembl:lncRNA
AUGAGAUAUGGAUUGUGUCACGCAAGAGGCUUCAAUCUGUUGGAUGCUGGCAAAUUUGAAUGCCUCUGUGAAGAGAUACACUCGGAAACCCUGGCUGCCUCGGCUGAGAGUGUAUACACGUAUGAUCGCAGCAUGAAUCAGCACUCUGGCAGUGUGACCGUGUCUGAGAAAUCAGGUGGGUCAUCUUCAGUUGUUGCAUUUCUGGAAGGAACGUUAAAAGCUAUGCUUGUCCACAUCAAUCUAGAUCCCGCUCAACCAACAGUGGGUUCUGAGAAUAUUUUUCUGCGUUGUGCACAGAGAACAUCAUUUACAAUGCCUCAGUGCAAUGAAUUUACAUCUGUAUUGGUGUCUGCAUUACAAAAUUCAAUGAAGGCUACACGUCCAGAUCAGUUAGUCCACACACUGGCUGUAAUGCAAGACCCAGAGACAGCAGGACUUGGUAGCAUGCCACCUAUAGAAUCUAGUGUGGCAGCAUUUAUUGUAUCUCCCGAUGAGGUGCUUUGUGAGAAUGUACGCUGCCCCAAUGUUGAGUGUAGGUGCACUGAUGAGUUACUGUCUCGUACAUACAAUGCUACAGCAAGCCUUGGCUGUGUUUCUAAUUCUUUGGUGCACAUGCUUGUGGCUCUACACUCCUUUCUGAGAGAAACUUCAUCUGACCCGUUAAUGACAGACUUAACUGAACUUACAUUGCAGACUAUGGGUGUUAUUGCCAGUCACUGUGGAACAGCCUUAGGUACUCUUGUGCAAGCUCGACGGCAAGAUUGGUUGGCCCAGUCCUCCUUGCCGGAGGUGUAUAGGAACAAUUUGCGGAGAUUGCCGUUGGUACCUGGUCAAAUUUUUGGACCAACUGCACAGGAAGCCUUGGAUCGGCAUGUGUCUGUGUCUGAAACUCACUCCCAUCAUGUGGGGAUUGCCCCAGGACCCAGGCCUCCUCUAGCAUCCUCUGGUGCUCAUUUUCACAAUGUUGGUGUAAGACCCAUUUAUAGAUCUUCUCAACAUUUCCACCAUCGGAACUCUCAGACUAUUCCAACACCACCUCCUCCACCUUCCAGGCAUGGUGGGACUCAACCAUGUGGACAUCAGUCUCACAUCCGACCCCCAGGUCCCCAACGUUGCCCCCCCCACCUCUACAGGAAGGCGUUUGCGGGAGCGUUGACGCUCACAUGUCGACAGUGGGCUGUUUAA